UUUCCGUAGGUGAACCUGCGGAAGGAUCAUUCAUAAUAAGGAUUUUAUAUCGCUUUUUUCUUUGUACAUCCACUUCGUGUGCAAUGUGAGGCGUGUGCUCGUUGAAUCGGCCCCAAACAUCAACUAUUAUCAGAAGUCUUGGUCUAGAACAUAUGAUGAGUAAAACAAUUGUACAUACAACUUUCAACAACCGAUCUCUUGGCUCUCUCAUCGAUGAACACCGCAACAGGUCGUCAAAGACCACGUCUGCUCUCGAGUCACCUCGUCCGGACCCGAAUC
rnacentral:misc_RNA from 1 species